UACGUGCCAGCAGCCGCGGUAAUACGGAAGGUCCGGGCGUUAUCCGGAUUUAUUGGGUUUAAAGGGAGCGUAGGCCGGAGAUUAAGUGUGUUGUGAAAUGUAGACGCUCAACGUCUGACUUGCAGCGCAUACUGGUUUCCUUGAGUACGCACAACGUUGGCGGAAUUCGUCGUGUAGCGGUGAAAUGCUUAGAUAUGACGAAGAACUCCGAUUGCGAAGGCAGCUGACGGGAGCGCAACUGACGCUUAAGCUCGAAGGUGCGGGUAUCGAACAGGAUUAGAUACCCUGGUAGUCCGCACAGUAAACGAUGGAUGCCCGCUGUUGGUACUUGGUAUCAGCGGCUAAGCGAAAGCAUUAAGCAUCCCACCUGGGGAGUACGCCGGCAACGGUGAAACUCAAAGGAAUUGACGGGGGCCCGCACAAGCGGAGGAACAUGUGGUUUAAUUCGAUGAUACGCGAGGAACCUUACCCGGGCUUGAAUUGCAGAGGAAGGAUUUAGAGAUA
rnacentral:rRNA from 1 species